AUUCCCCGUACAAUGAUGGCCGACUUUGGAGAUUUGACCAAUGAGUAAUCAGAUUAGAGAACAGUGUUCCCCGUACUUUGCGUGCGUGUGCUGACGGCGUCAUUUUAGAACUGUCGAUUCUGGCUAAUGCGUUGGAAAUUUAACAAAUAUUUUUCGGAAAUUAACGGGUAAAGUUAUCAAAAAGGAAAGAAAUGCAGGGAGAGAGACAAAUGUGUGUCAAUUGUCUUCAACAGUGUAGUUAUUUGACCAAUGUAUGCAAAUGUUGGUGACAGUGACAAAAAUUGGAGGGAAAGCUGAAAAGCAGAUGGAACAUUUUUCAUUAGUCAGGCAUCGAGGCAUAUGGGCUGAGGUGGAUGUUGCAUUGUUGCUCGUAAAUUCAAAGUUUUUGCAUUUCAACAGAGUCAUAGACCCCCGGGGGUUUCAGCUAGAAUUUCAAUAUUGAAUUGUUUGCGCUGUUACCGUCUGCGCCAUAAGGUUAACAUAUAGUUGAUUUGUAAUAUUGAAGGAAAAAACCAGAGACAAUUCAAGUAGCUGGGGAAGUCAUGGAUGCUAUCAUUGCUGUUGCACUAAUAAAUACCAUUCCUGUCAUUUGCCUGAUGGCUGAUGCACUCGGCAAGAUUUCUGUAAUCUAGACUUUCCUUGAAUGUGUACCAUUUUGUUAGAUCUGGUGCCAGAGAUUUACAUCUACCUUGUGCUAACCAGCCACAUGCAUGCUUUACUCAAAGUAAACCACCAUGAGAAGAUGUACUUUUAAUUGUUUUAUUUUCUUUUGGGUUCUUUGCCUUAGAUAUUCUGAAAUGGUAUGUCCACAUGUAGAGGAUAUUAUGGUGGUCAUCUGAAAAGGUCCAGGUGCAUAAAUGUAGAGGAAUUGGAAGGUUAGCCUGCAUGCCUCAACUUUUCUCAAUUCAAUGAGGAUUCUGCAGGAAUGCCAUUCUGCAUGCGUGUUUGUGGAUUCUACUGUAGUAAUAGUACAGCAACUAAGAGCUGUAGACCGUCAGCAGUGCUUGGACUGUUCUGUAUCUUUUUCUUUAUUAUCAUGUCCUAAUUGAGUUACACUGUUCUCUUUCUAGAUAGACAAAGCUACACUUCAAGGUGUACCAACUGAAAAUCCUUGUCUGCAGAACCAGUUUACCCAUUUCCAACACAGGGUUGUUAAGAUAGAAGCAUUCUGUUAACAAACAAUCAAAGCAUAUUUUCCUUUGGAAAUACUGUUUCACUUUGUUGUGCAUACUUUCUGUUCUGUGUUAUCUGAAAUAUUUUGUGACAGCUUAACUUUAUUGUUAGGCUGUAGUGACCUGGAGAAUGGUUUUCCUGUUGCCAUUCUCCAGUUACUACAUUACAGCAAGCUCUGCAUUAUUCACCGUAACAACGGGAGCUUCAUAUCAACAUUACUUCAGGUUAGAAUCAUAAAAUUUUUAAAAUAUUUAUUUUAUUCUAGCCGUGCUUAAGUAGAUAACGUUGUCAUUGCUUCCUUUGGAAUGCUAAAAGAUAGUUUUUGUUACGUAGCAAUCAGAAGCAGAUUCUUUACGAAUUUUCUGAUUGGCUUAAUUUUUGUGUCGGCUCGAUGGUCUAGGGGUAUGAUUCUCGCUUUGGGUGCGAGAGGUCCCGGGUUCAAAUCCCGGUCGAGCCCAUUAAAUGUUUUUAUAUUUCAAAGGGGAAAUGUAAAAAGAUAAAAAACAAACCAAGGACGGGGAACCUUACGUUUGGGUUCACCGUUUUAGCUCCCAUACGGUUCCCACCUGUUCUUUAAUGUAUCAUUUUUUAUUCUUACUUGGACAUGUUGUAAUUAGCGGUUCGUUUUGUACACACUUGCCAUGAUCGUGAUAACUUGAUAACUAAAAAUCGAUUGCAACGACAAGUCUGGUUUUGUAGCAUGGUUAGAGUAAUUUGAAAAUUAAUCCAAUUUAACAAACUGGGACCUUUUUUUUAGAUACUCGUAUCAGUGUCAUAGAUUUGAUGGUCUAAGAACUACCUGUUAAAACCUCUGAAAAUAAAAAAAUUCGAUGCCCCAUCCACUUAUGCAAGUAAGAUUUUUAAGGGUUUACUCGGGUCAUACUAGGCUUUACUCCCUGCACCAUGCGGAGACCAGAUGAACUAAUAUGCUGACAUACGCACGAUGCAGAUCAAUCGAAGGGACCGCGGUUUCAAUAGGAUUAGUUAGACCAUCAAAUCUAUUACUCUGCUCGUAUUGUGGAACCAAAGUUUUUGUACUUGGUUGUUGUCCUACGUCUUUGGUUGUUGUCCUACGUCUUUGGUCGAAAUCAUGGUGGCUGCCAUGUUUAGUGCUAACCAAUGAUGUUGACGGAGCAGGCCUGUGACAGAAACUAACAUGGUUAAAACUCUGUGAUUCUGGCCAGUAUGUUGGAAAAUUUUACAAAUAUGAUUCAGAAAAAUGGAAUAUCUGACUAACUCACGAAUGUUGUGGUUAGAAGGGCACCCUUCUUCACAGUGUAGUUGUAUUUUUUUUGAAUUUCUGCCUGAAAUUUUUUACCGGAAAAAUUCAAGGUUUUCUGCCUUCAGUUGACAAUUGCCUUGGGGUUUGUGUAUGCAUGGAAGACUUUUCAUUGGCAUGAAGACUUUUGUUGAUUGUUAAAGAAAGGAAUGCGGAAAAUUUAAGCAACUGGUGAGCUAGCCCAGACAUCAGGAGACUUUUGAACUUAGGCGAGGAACCAAAAAAAUUGAGUGAAUAUUAACCGUUGCUUCCUCCACGAUAGUUGCAGAGCUACCAGAACCGCCUUCGUCACCGCUUCAACAGUGAUGCGUAAAGGUUAACUAAGGGGAGUGCCAACUAAGAAGCACUGCCUGCAAUCGAUUUCCCUUUUGUAACAUGGGUAAACAGGCCGUUGGACAAGAUGAAAUCAGUCCGUUGAUCAACAUUGGCCAAGCAGCUUAACCUGCACGUUAUUAAGCUCCAUCGGAAUUUGCUAAAUCGUUAUCGAUUGCUAUUAGCUGGUUGUUGUGGUUGAAACCUUCAUAAUUCAAUGUACCGAUUCCGUCCUCCACUGCUCGCAUUGUGAUAACGCAGUCUUCAGGUAAGUUCAAUUGCUUGCUAAUUGUCGUGUUUAAUUUUUAUAAACGAGUUUGCGUUGUACAAUGAUUUAAUAGUGUUUUAUAAGAUAAAUUUUAUUGGCUCGAUGGUCUAGGGGUAUGAUUCUCGCUUUGGGUGCGAGAGGUCCCGGGUUCAAAUCCCGGUCGAGCCCUAAAUGAUUUGUCUUUUUUUAUCACUUUUAUACCCAUAACCUUCACUUGUGUUUUAGUCGUAUUAACCAUGGCGUAGUUAAAUGUUUGCUUACAGCCAUUUCCAAAUAACGCUGCCUUAAUUUGCGAUUAAAGAAGCCUUUCAAGAGUUAACGACAGGUAUUUAUUCCCAAGAAAUGUUAUCAUUAAUAAGUUGUUCACUUAGUAAAAGUGAAAGACUUUUUGCUGUGGCAUAAAAUUCGUAUUAUGGAACAAGUAGAAAUUCAUAGCACUGCCAAUCGUUUAAAAUAUCUAAUUUAUCGUAGAUAUAAAAGCGGUAGCUAUUAAGGGUAAUUUGCCACCCCUGGUAUUUUGACUUUUCUGCUUAGAUUGCUAGAGUUCUUGCCAUAUCGAUUUUCCAAUAUUGUUAAAAACAAUUUUUGAAAAUUUAUCGUUGUAGAAACAGAACUAGUCACCCUUCUUUAUAUGCAGCUAUGCCUAAUCUCAUAAAGAUAAAAUGUCAAAUAUCGGUGUAAUGCUUGCUUUUAAACGGCGCAGAUGGCGAAUGUAUAUAUAAUUGAAUAUAUACCUUUACCAUUUCCUGUGAUAAGUCAGAUACGUCACAGUGCUCGUGCAAUAUCGUUCAGCGACAUAGCCGUCCUAAAACACCAUUCUAGUCUCAAACAAGAUAAAAUAUUUAUCUAUGGCAGACCAUCACCACCAUUUCCUUCAUCCAGAUUGUGAUGUACGAUGUCGGUUUGUGCGAAAUUUAUCUGCUUUAGGAAGAUAAACCUUUUAUUUAUUUAUUUAAUUUUUUUCUUUUUUUUCCCCCAAAAUAUUUUCUUUUUGCAAUGCGUGUUAAAUUUAUUAACUUAAAAAAUUGUUUAAAUAUUAAAGUGGUGUAGGAAAAUUAGGGCAUAGAUGAAGUAACUGAGAAGUGGAAUCCUCAACCCAGACGUUAGUGGAACUGAACUGGAAUGUUAAGUGACGAAGAGAUCCUGAAUUUGCCCGACGCUUCAUGUUAAAGGCGAGCGGUUUGAAGCGGUACUUUUCUGGACCAGUCAGAAUCUUAUGACUGGCCAAAAUUUGAUAUGAGAAUAAUUGAUACGUCGUCCUGUCACAUCUCGAAUUCUACGGUUUAUAAUUCUUGUUCUAUGGCCGAGUUCUUUUACAGACAGUGGCUUCUCAUUUCUUCUUCAAACCAGCAAUCAGAUUUGAUGUUUUGAUGUUUCGAAUUGUUUCAGGUUGUUAAAGCAAGUUUGACUUCCUACGAUGCUUCCACCAACGUGCGUGGUCGCCAAACUUUGUCGUUGUAUCGGACUAUUAAUCCGGAAGAAAAACGCCGAAUUAUUGGCGAUACGUUUAUCAAAGUGGCCGAUAGAACGGCUAACGAUUUAAACCUCACUUGGGAUAAUCUACUUCUCGGACAAGGUACUUCGAGGCCGGAUUCAAUUGAGUACACUUCGCAUAUGGCUUCUUCGCGCGCGGAUGCCAUAAAGACUCAUCAUAAUGAUUCCGAAAUGGUUCGUCAGUUGCGCCAUCACGGUCGUGUAGUAGAACCUCUUAAAGAUUUCCGGAAAGAUGAAGUGAGAGAGCCUUAGGUCGCGAGCUGGGUCUUCCCGCAGAAUUACUGAAACGGCAUCCGUUUCCUGGUCCCGCUUUGUCAAUUCGAAUCCUUUCCGCCGAAGAACCGUUCAUGAAAGCUGAUUUCGGUGAAAUGCAAGUACUGAUUCGUUUGAUGGUCGAUUACGCAAACAUGGAAGCCAAGGAACGUGCCUUGCUCAAUCAGAUUGAAAUUGCGACGUCAGAAGAAAAUCGUCUUCUUCUGGAAGAACUGUCCAGUCGCAACCAGUAUGUUGCCACGCUAAUGCCUAUUCGCACUGUCGGUGUUUAGGUCCAAGAGAUUUGCAAUUUAGACGUUUCGUUGGCGGAAUUUUAAAAAGAUUGUUUUCUUCCUUACAGGGAGAUUGCCAAACUUAAAGCCAGAUACAGAUUUCGAUGGGAGAUGGUAUGAACAGUGGAUUCAGUCUAGACUAGACGGCACCCAAUCUUUAUUCUUAAAUCCCAGAGGUGUUCUUCAUUUUUCAGGGGGAUUGAUUGAUGAGACUUGUUGGUUAAACCAUGAAGAAUACCAAUACAUGGAUAAAUGGAGAUAUUUAAAAGUAUAAAACUAAUUCCUCAUGGGAUUUUCAUUCACCCAUGCGCGGCAGUUCAUGAUCAGACGAGCCAUUGAAAGAGCCUUGCGCAGUCCAGCUGCAUCUAGCCAGAUACUAGUAGAACCCGAAACAUUGUUUUAACAAGUACUGUCAUAUUUCGGUUGCAGGUUUUCACUAAAUACCAAGAGGAAAAACUAGAUGGCAUUGAUGUGCGUCCGUCUAUGAUAAAUAUUACGAGUGACAAGUUAAAUUGGUGUUUGUUACAUUUCUACCCUGCUUAGUGUUUCAAAGGAUUUUUCAUCAAAUAUAAACGGUGGAUUGUCACCAGACUUCCUUUGAAUGGUACACCCACUAUCUGCAGCCUUACAGUGAGCUUCAUAAAUACUAUCAACCCCUGAGAUAACAUUACCGUUGGUUGUGAUUUUGCUCUUCACUUUCAUUAUCCAUAUGCAAUUUUCACACUACUUCAUUACCUUUAUGGAGUGAUAUUUUAUCAUCCUGGAAAGAGGAUUCUGGAAAUUGAUGAUUUCUAAUAUACAGCUGCUAUUCAGAUAACAAGAUUUAAUAUAUUUACAUUUCAGAAUGAGCUUCCAAUCUGAAGUUGUGAGUGUUUUAUCAGAUUACGGAUUCCUACUUUGAAAACCAAACUAUUUCCUUCUACAAAUGGGUUUUGAAGUAUCAUUUGAAUGAGGUAUUAUGUACUCUAUGAUAUCAUUCUGAAGCCUUUAAUUGGCAUUAUACAAAAUAAAUUACCAUGAAAGGAAGUUCUUGCAGGAAUUGUUAUCGACCGUCUAUGUUAUGCAGUAAUUGGAUCUGCAGUUCAGUUAGAAACUUUCACUUAGAAAUAUGCUCAGCGUAGAAUUUAUAUGAAAAAUGAAAUUUGAUUGGAAAAAGUUCCUGGUAGAGACAAGAGAUUCUAAAAAAUGAUACUGUUUGGAAGGACGACUGGCAAUUUCAAGAUUCAUUUAUUUCCCUCCACGUUAUACUAUUUAUAUAUUUUAAAAAAUUUAAUUGCAUAUCUGGGCUCCCUUCUUUUCUGUGGCCCCGUUUCCCCUUGACUCGUAAUAAGCCCGUAGGGGGUCAUGCCCCUACUGUGAUCAGCAGUAAAGGUU